ACGCGAGCUGGGUUUAGAACGUCGUGAGACAGUUCGGUCCCUAUCUGCCGUGGGCGCUGGAGAACUGAGGGGGGCUGCUCCUAGUACGAGAGGACCGGAGUGGACGCAUCACUGGUGUUCGGGUUGUCAUGCCAAUGGCACUGCCCGGUAGCUAAAUGCGGAAGAGAUAAGUGCUGAAAGCAUCUAAGCACGAAACUUGCCCCGAGAUGAGUUCUCCCUGAGACUUAGAGUCUCCUGAAGGAACGUUGAAGACGACGACGUUGAUAGGCCGGGUGUGUAAGCGCAGCGAUGCGUUGAGCUAACCGGUACUAAUGAACCGUGAGGCUUAACCUUAC
rnacentral:rRNA from 1 species